rnacentral:rRNA from 1 species
UGGCGAACUGGUGAGUAACACGUGGGAAACCUGCCCAGAAGCGGGGGAUAACACCUGGAAACAGAUGCUAAUACCGCAUAACAACUUGNACCGCAUGGUCCGAGCUUGAAAGAUGGCUUCGGCUAUCACUUUUGGAUGGUCCCGCGGCGUAUUAGCUAGAUGGUGGGGUAACGGCUCACCAUGGCAAUGAUACGUAGCCGACCUGAGAGGGUAAUCGGCCACAUUGGACUGAGACACGGCCCAAACUCCUACGGGAGGCAGCAGUAGGGAAUCUUCCACAAUGGACGAAAGUCUGAUGGAGCAACGCCGCGUGAGUGAAGAAGGGUUUCGGCUCGU